CCCAUUUGGUACAAUUUUUACACAUUUAUUCUAAUAUAGAAAAUACUCACGUGAGGAUUUCAAAUUAAUGUUGAUAUUUUAAUAAGACAACCUUCAGUACUUCCAACUGCACGAGGAAAAAAUAAAUAGUACGCGAUAGCUAUUUAUAGAUCGGCUUUUUUCGUGUUACGUAACUUCCGGUCUGGAGCAUGCAGAAAGGACCCCAUUUGGUACAAAGUGGUGAGACAUCGAUUUAUUCGGUUAUUUCCAAAGAUGUGAUCAAUAAUGUGAGUGAUUUCGAUGGGCACAUUUGACAACACCAGGAUGAAUCUGAUGCCUUCCUCAUUUCAAAUGUGCGGUACACUCUGGGUGGUAAACAAAAAGCAUGAUAGGACUUCUUACAGAAGUAGCAUGUCGCCCAAUAUAUUUCUUCUUCUAUUGGAGAAACAUAUUGGUGAUCCAUGCAUACUUGACAUAUCAGCAUGGCAUGUCCGUCUGGGGUUGUACUAUCCUGGUCAAGAUGUGUUGGAAAUGGCUCAAUAUCUGACUGAACACUAGUACUGUGACUAGUGUCCUGACUAAGAGCUGGGAAUGGCUCAACAUCAACAUUCAUGCUGGGAUCAAAGCAAUAACUACAAAGCCAGUCUGAAGACACUAGCAAACUUAAAUCUACAUGAGUUUGCUCUUCAUGAUUGAGGCAGUCCCGAUGAAACCACCGGCCACAUUCUGGACCAUCACAUCCAACCCAUAGGAUCCCUUCUUCCUCAUCAUUACAUCGACCCCUGAUGUUGCAAAUUUUGCAGGCCCAAUAAUUGGCACGAAUAUAUCGGCGAGCUCCUUUGGAAUGAGUCCCUCUGUGACUAAGGGAUGUCCAUGUACAAAUUGUCCACAUCCAUCACAGAGUGGGUGCAAAUCCAGAUUGUCUCCCCCUGGUCCAGGCUUGGGAAAGGUAUAGCUUCUGUCGACAGGAGUCAAUCUGGAGGUGUCAAUAGCAUUUGGGUUUAAAGGGACAAUACCACAUUUCCUGAAGGCAGUUUUGACAUGGUGAGGACUAAAAGUCCUGUCAAUAGCUGCUCUGAGAAUCUGGGCAAACCUGUAAAUGAGACAAAAUGAGGUUACCUGCCCUUUCCAAUGAUCAAAUUUGGGUUGGCAUAGCCCAAAUUGACUGCCAAAUCUGAAACUGUCUUCUUGAGUGGUCUAAAAAGUGCAACAUCUAGAGGCUGGAGUAGGUGUGUGGUGUGGGGUGGCAAGCCUAUCAGCUCCACUCUGUUUUCCCUGGCCAUUUCUAUGGUGUCCAGCGAAAGAUGACUCUCAUGGUUGUCGAGGAUCAGUAAUAGUGGCCGUUCUUUCGAUGCAUGUUGGAGAAAAAUACGCUCAAACCAUUUUUUGAAUAAUGCUGCAUCCAUGUAGCCAUUCGGAGAGGUUCCAAAAAGCCAUUCCUCUGGAAAGGACUUUUCAAAAAUUAUGAAAGAAGGCAGCACCUUUCCAUCUGCAGAAACACACACUGCAGCUGUGGUGUGGUUGGUAGUGGAAACCUGUCUUGUAUAGGCUCCUCGGUUGGUGACACAGACCUUGUCCUGGGCUACAACCCCUUUCCCAAAGCCAGUUUCGUCCAUGUUGUAAACCAGGUUUGGUUUAUCGGCUAGUCCUGAAUUAAAUGUUAUGGGUUUUUUUUAUAAGUAAAUGACAUGGCAUUUAUUAUAUAUACCUGUUCACGAGGCACAAGUGCAGAUAAAUGCAUAACCAAUAAAUAUGUCGCAUAUUGAUUUUUAAUGCUAUGAGAAUUUAUUGAUUAAAGGGAGAUGAUAAGAUUUACUUUUAUUUGAUACAUGUACUCCCUACAGAACGUUACUAUUAUUUUGUAAUUUUUUAAUAAUAUAGGAUAUUAUCAGUUAUUGAAAAACUGAAUUAGGAUCAGUCCUAAAGUCAUUUUCAAAACUCUAAUGAAAUGUUACAAUUUAAUUUCAGACAGAAGAUUAAUGCCUUACCAAGUUUGUCAACAGUGUCCUUUAGCAGAGAGAAAUACUGAGACAUCACAGUUUUAUUUGCCAUCCUGACACGACCACCAUCUAUGGUCUGUGGUUUCCUCAUGUGAAGGUCUCGAUGUCUGCCUAGAAAUCUUUUUAUCCACUUGUCGGAGGGACCAUUCUCACCGAUAGGGCUUGGCCUCCCUGACCUUUGCACAAGUUUCAGUACAAACAUCUUUAUCAUUUUCCUCGUGAGACCUUUCUUGACAAUACUUGAUGUAUGUUACAAGAUACUUUUCUUCAUCAGAAGAAAUUACUCGGACAGGCUGACCUCCCUUGUUAAGACCUUGUGCAUGCCUCUUUAACGUCAUGUGUGGUACAUUGUAGUUUGAAGCUGCACGUCUUAUUGGUAUCCCUUUUUUUACAUCCUGUAGAGCUUGUUUAAAAUUUGCGGUUUCAUAUUUCCUGUAUUUAGCUGUGAAUGAUAAAUGUGAAAUAAAUAUAUUUUUGUUUA